GACAGAGGGUGCAAACGUUGUUCGGAUUUACUGGGCGUAAAGCGCGUGUAAGCGGCUUUACAAGUCGGAUGUGAAAGCCCGCGGCUCAACCGUGGAAGUGCAUCCGAAACUGUAUCGCUGGAGUCCCGGAGAGGAAGGUGGAAUGCUUGGUGUAGAGGUGAAAUUCGUAGAUAUCAAGCAGAACACCUGCGGCGAAGGCGGCCUUCUGGACGGUGACUGACGCUGAGACGCGAAAGCGUGGGGAGCAAACAGG
rnacentral:rRNA from 1 species